UCGGGAAUUUUGGGCAAUGGGCGAAAGCCUGACCCAGCAACGCCGCGUGAAGGAUGAAGUAUUUCGGUAUGUAAACUUCGAAAGAAUAGGAAGAAUAAAUGACGGUACUAUUUAUAAGGUCCGGCUAACUACGUGCCAGCAGCCGCGGUAAUACGUAGGGACCAAGCGUUGUUCGGAUUUACUGGGCGUAAAGGGCGCGUAGGCGGCAUGACAAGUCACUUGUGAAAUCUCUGGGCUUAACCCAGAACGGCCAAGUGAUACUGUCGCGCUAGAGUGCAGAAGGGGCAAUCGGAAUUCUUGGUGUAGCGGUGAAAUGCGUAGAUAUCAAGAGGAACACCUGAGGUGAAGACGGGUUGCUGGGCUGACACUGACGCUGAGGCGCGAAAGCCAGGGGAGCAAACGGGAUUAGAUACCCAGGUAGUCCCUGAGCGGGCUGGCAAGGCGCAU
rnacentral:rRNA from 1 species